rnacentral:rRNA from 1 species
UACGAAGGGGGCUAGCGUUGCUCGGAAUCACUGGGCGUAAAGCGCACGUAGGCGGCUUCUUAAGUCAGGGGUGAAAUCCUGGAGCUCAACUCCAGAACUGCCUUUGAUACUGAGGAGCUUGGAGUCCGGGAGAGGUGAGUGGAACUGCGAGUGUAGAGGUGAAAUUCGUAGAUAUUCGCAAGAACACCAGUGGCGAAGGCGGCUCACUGGCCCGGUACUGACGCUGAGGUGCGAAAGCUAGGGGAGCAAACGGG